AUGAUGGACCUGCUAAAACUGAUUAGCACAGACUUGCGUGCUGGAAACCAGAGCUGGGGAUGCAGCGCUCUGAAGUGGAAAUGUCUGGAAAACUCUGAGGCUGUGGGAUCCCGGAGGAACAUGUGGUUCCCCUCUGUCAGCUGCUGUCAGGCUCUGAGAAGCCAAAAGAAGUCACAAGUGAAGAGGACAGCCAGAAAGAAAAUAUCAGAUUUGGAAGGAAUAAAGAGUCGGCCUAUGACCUGGUACUGUGACCCAGAGACAACUUUGUGGGGUAGGGGUAUUGCUAGAGAGGAUUUGGGGAGAAAACGAUCACAAUCACAGUUACUGUGCCAUUUUUCUGUAAAUAAAAGGGAUUCCAUUAAAGAGGUAUUUGUCUCCAUCAGCUAUUUUUUUGUGACUGAAAAAAUACAGAAGACCACACUGUUUUAGCUAUCUGCUUGAGUCAGAAAGGGUAACAGGAAAUAUACUAGUGUUGCAUCAUUCCUAUGCUAAAAAUCUUUGACCAUAAAAUGUGGAUGAGAAAAGAAACCAGAAACUAAUUAAAAGGAAAGACCUAGAAAACUAGAAACUCCAUGUUUACUUUCCAGCAAUUAUACCCCCAAAUACUUUUUUUCACAGCCUUUCAUUUGCCUCUUUUUUAGAAAUCGCUGAUCCGACCCAUCACCCAAUUAUUUUCAGACUAAAAGACUUCUCAGUAAAUCUUUUCUGAGCUGUUCCUGUCACAGUUGCAGUUUGUUAGCAAUCUGGUCCUUUUAUUUUCAUUUCGUACUUGUGUGCUUCCUGUUGAAGAUAAAAUCUAGGGGGAUGAUUUAGAAUGCAUAUUGUGGUCAAUCAAAUGUAACUUUGCUGACUUCAGUGACUUAAGCGUUGACUUUCCUAACCUGUGCAAGGUCCUGAGUUGGAGAGGUCUUUUUGGGAUGCUAUUAUCUUUCAUGGACUUUGAAAUGGUUCACUAAAACCUAUGGGCUUAUGCUGGGUUAACCUUGGUUAAGGGCCAAAUUUCCCCUCAGCCAUUUUUUCACCCACCCAUCCUGAAAAGGACAGGGGAGAAAACAGGGUGAAAAAACUCAUGGGUCAAGAUAAAGACAGGAAGAUCGCUUAACACUUACCAUCAAGGGCAAAACAGAUUGGAUUUGGGGUACAGUAAUUUAUAUAUAAUUGUCAGUUAAGAUAGGUAUGGAUAGUGAAAAACAAGGACAAUUUAAACACAUCCCCUUUUCCUCAUAGAAUCAUAGAAUAUCCGAGUUGGAAGGGACUCACAAGGAUCAUCAAGUCCAACCCCUGAAUGUUCAAUGUUUCCCCUUCAUCCUGACCCCUCUGCCCCAGCAACACAGGGGAUGGGAUGGGAUGGGAUGGGAUGGGAUGGGAUGGGAUGGGAUGGGAUGGGAUGGGAUGGGAUGGGGGCUGCGCUCAACCCUCCCAGCCCCUC
ensembl:lncRNA